rnacentral:rRNA from 1 species
UUAAGCGACUAAGCGUACACGGUGGAUGCCCUGGCAGUCAGAGGCGAUGAAGGACGUGCUAAUCUGCGAAAAGCGUCGGUAAGGUGAUAUGAACCGUUAUAACCGGCGAUGUCCGAAUGGGGAAACCCAGUGCAAUUCGUUGCACUAUCGUUAACUGAAUACAUAGGUUAACGAGGCGAACCGGGGGAACUGAAACAUCUAAGUACCCCGAGGAAAAGAAAUCAACCGAGAUUCCCCCAGUAGCGGCGAGCGAACGGGGAGCAGCCCAGAGUCUGAAUCAGCUUGUGUGUUAGUGGAACGGUCUGGAAAGUCCGACGGUACAGGGUGAUAGUCCCGUACACCAAAAUGCACAGGUUGUGAACUCGAAGAGUAGGGCGGGACACGUGGUAUCCUGUCUGAAUAUGGGGGGACCAUCCUCCAAGGCUAAAUACUCCUGACUGACCGAUAGUGAACCAGUACCGUGAGGGAAAGGCGAAAAGAACCCCGGCGAGGGGAGUGAAAAAGAACCUGAAACCGUGUACGUACAAGCAGUGGGAGCACCUUCGGGUGUGACUGCGUACCUUUUGUAUAAUGGGUCAGCGACUUAUAUUCUGUAGCAAGGUUAACCGUAUAGGGGAGCCGCAGGGAAACCGAGUCUUAACUGGGCGUUAAGUUGCAGGGUAUAGACCCGAAACCCGGUGAUCUAGCCAUGGGCAGGUUGAAGGUUGGGUAACACUAACUGGAGGACCGAACCGACUAAUGUUGAAAAAUUAGCGGAUGACUUGUGGCUGGGGGUGAAAGGCCAAUCAAACCGGGAGAUAGCUGGUUCUCCCCGAAAGCUAUUUAGGUAGCGCCUCGUGAACUCAUCUUCGGGGGUAGAGCACUGUUUCGGCUAGGGGGUCAUCCCGACUUACCAACCCGAUGCAAACUACGAAUACCGAAGAAUGUUAUCACGGGAGACACACGGCGGGUGCUAACGUCCGUCGUGAAGAGGGAAACAACCCAGACCGCCAGCUAAGGUCCCAAAGUCAUGGUUAAGUGGGAAACGAUGUGGGAAGGCACAGACAGCCAGGAUGUUGGCUUAGAAGCAGCCAUCAUUUAAAGAAAGCGUAAUAGCUCACUGGUCGAGUCGGCCUGCGCGGAAGAUGUAACGGGGCUAAACCAUGCACCGAAGCUGCGGCAGCGACACUAUGUGUUGUUGGGUAGGGAGCGUUCUGUAAGCCUGCGAAGGUGUGCUGUGAGGCAUGCUGGAGGUAUCAGAAGUGCGAAUGCUGACAUAAGUAACGAUAAAGCGGGUGAAAAGCCCGCUCGCCGGAAGACCAAGGGUUCCUGUCCAACGUUAAUCGGGGCAGGGUGAGUCGACCCCUAAGGCGAGGCCGAAAGGCGUAGUCGAUGGGAAACAGGUUAAUAUUCCUGUACUUGGUGUUACUGCGAAGGGGGGACGGAGAAGGCUAUGUUAGCCGGGCGACGGUUGUCCCGGUUUAAGCAUGUAGGCUGAUUGUCCAGGCAAAUCCGGAUAAUCAAGGCUGAGGUGUGAUGACGAGGCACUACGGUGCUGAAGUAACAAAUGCCCUGCUUCCAGGAAAAGCCUCUAAGCAUCAGGUAACAUUAAAUCGUACCCCAAACCGACACAGGUGGUCAGGUAGAGAAUACCAAGGCGCUUGAGAGAACUCGGGUGAAGGAACUAGGCAAAAUGGUGCCGUAACUUCGGGAGAAGGCACGCUGGUGUGUAGGUGAAGUCCCUGCGGAUGGAGCUGAGACCAGUCGAAGAUACCAGCUGGCUGCAACUGUUUAUUAAAAACACAGCACUGUGCAAACACGAAAGUGGACGUAUACGGUGUGACGCCUGCCCGGUGCCGGAAGGUUAAUUGAUGGGGUUAUCCGUAAGGAGAAGCUCUUGAUCGAAGCCCCGGUAAACGGCGGCCGUAACUAUAACGGUCCUAAGGUAGCGAAAUUCCUUGUCGGGUAAGUUCCGACCUGCACGAAUGGCGUAAUGAUGGCCAGGCUGUCUCCACCCGAGACUCAGUGAAAUUGAACUCGCUGUGAAGAUGCAGUGUACCCGCGGCAAGACGGAAAGACCCCGUGAACCUUUACUAUAGCUUGACACUGAACAUUGAGCCUUGAUGUGUAGGAUAGGUGGGAGGCUUUGAAGCGUGGACGCCAGUCUGCGUGGAGCCAACCUUGAAAUACCACCCUUUAAUGUUUGAUGUUCUAACGUUGGCCCCUUACCGGGGUUGCGGACAGUGUCUGGUGGGUAGUUUGACUGGGGCGGUCUCCUCCCAAAGCGUAACGGAGGAGCACGAAGGUUAGCUAAUCCUGGUCGGACAUCAGGAGGUUAGUGCAAUGGCAUAAGCUAGCUUGACUGCGAGCGUGACGGCGCGAGCAGGUGCGAAAGCAGGUCAUAGUGAUCCGGUGGUUCUGAAUGGAAGGGCCAUCGCUCAACGGAUAAAAGGUACUCCGGGGAUAACAGGCUGAUACCGCCCAAGAGUUCAUAUCGACGGCGGUGUUUGGCACCUCGAUGUCGGCUCAUCACAUCCUGGGGCUGAAGUAGGUCCCAAGGGUAUGGCUGUUCGCCAUUUAAAGUGGUACGCGAGCUGGGUUUAGAACGUCGUGAGACAGUUCGGUCCCUAUCUGCCGUGGGCGCUGGAGAAUUGAGGGGGGCUGCUCCUAGUACGAGAGGACCGGAGUGGACGCAUCACUGGUGUUCGGGUUGUCAUGCCAAUGGCACUGCCCGGUAGCUAAAUGCGGAAGAGAUAAGUGCUGAAAGCAUCUAAGCACGAAACUUGCCCCGAGAUGAGUUCUCCCUGAGACUUUAAGUCUCCUGAAGGAACGUUAAAGACGAUGACGUUGAUAGGCCGGGUGUGUAAGCGCAGCGAUGCGUUGAGCUAACCGGUACUAAUGAACCGUGAGGCUUAACCUU